rnacentral:rRNA from 2 species
CGGCAGGUGGCCGGUGGCGCGACUCGUGCGYGUCGUCGGUGUCUAGCCGGUUCCUCAUACGGCCCGUAGCCCGACCGUGGUGUCGCGAAGCCCGCUCAUGGGCUUCACCGCCUCCUCUUGUGAAAAGACCCGCACUUGGCGCGGCAGUGGUUCUUCAAGGCCGGCAGGCGCACAGACUGACUCUGUGGCUAGCUGCUUGGAGUUCUCGUUGGCUGUGCGMGAUGCGUUGGRGGCUGGCGGUUGGCGGCGAGUAGAUCGGUCACCCAUCCGACCCGUCUUGAAACACGGACCAAGGAGUCUAACAUGUGUGCGAGUCAAUGGGACUUGAAUAAGCCCAGAGGCGCAAUGAAAGUAAAAGGUCGKWCUYGACGSCGACGAAGUUGRGAUCCCUGA